rnacentral:misc_RNA from 1 species
GAUGAAGAACGUAGCGAAAUGCGAUAAGUAAUGUGAAUUGCAGAAUUCAGUGAAUCAUCGAAUCCUUGAACGCACAUUGCGCCCGCCAGUAUUCUGGCGGGCAUGCCUGUUCGAGCGUCAUUUCAACCCUCAAGCCCUGCUUGGUGUUGGGGAUCGGCGUUGCCUCCUCCGUCGUUCGCGGCGGGGUGAGGUCGCCGCCCCCGAAAUGAAUUGGCGGUCUCGUCGCAGCUUUCCUUUGCGUAGUAACAUACCACCUCGCAACCAGGAGCGCGGCGCGGCCACUGCCGUAAAACGCCCAACUUUUUCAAGAGUUGACCUCGAAUCAGGUAGGAAUACCCGCUGAACUUAAGCAUAUCAAUAAGCGGAGGA